rnacentral:siRNA from 1 species
GCCGUCGUAAAGAUCGGAAGUGAU